CCUACGGGAGGCUGCAGUAGGGAAUCUUGCUCAAUGGGGGAAACCCUGAAGCUGCAACGCCGCGUGGAGGAUGAAAGUUUUCGGAUUGUAAACUCCUUUUGUUAGAGAAGAUAAUGACGGUAUCUAACGAAUAAGCCCCGGCUAACUCCGUGCCAGCAGCCGCGGUAAUACGAAGGGUGCAAGCGUUACUCGGAAUCACGGGCCGUAAAGAGCGCGUAGGCGGGAUAGCAAGUCAGAUGUGAAAUCCUAUGGCUUAACCAUAGAACUGCAUGUGAAACUGGUAUUCUAGAGUAUGGGAGAGGUAGGUGGAAUUCUCGGUGUAGGGGUAAAAUCCGUAGAGAUCAAGAGGAAUACUCAUGGCGAAGGCGACCUGCUAGAACAUAACUGACGCUGAUGCGCGAAAGCGUGGGGAGCAAAAAGGAUUAGAUACCCGUGUAGUC
rnacentral:rRNA from 1 species